rnacentral:rRNA from 1 species
ACUCCUACGGGAGGCAGCAGUGGGAAUAUUGGUCAAUGGAGGGAACUCUGAACCAGCCAUCCCGCGUGUAGGAAGACGGCCUUAUGGGUUGUAAACUACUUUUAUACAGGAAGAAACGUACCCUCGUGAGGGUGCCUGACGGUACUGUAGGAAUAAGCACCGGCUAACUCCGUGCCAGCAGCCGCGGUAAUACGGAGGGUGCGAGCGUUAAUCGGAAUUACUGGGCGUAAAGCGCAUGCAGGCGGCCUGUUAAGUCAGAUGUGAAAGCCCGGGGCUUAACCUCGGAAUUGCAUUUGAAACUGGCAGGCUAGAGUCUUGUAGAGGGGGUAGGAAUUUCAUGG